UUGAAAUCUGAACAGGAAGAUUAUGUUCCCAUGCCAGUGGUUCUGAUAGAUCAAGAUUCUGACUCUGAAGCAACAAUUGUACAAAUCAGCUUUGGCGAUCGUCUUGGGGCUCUCAUUGAUACGGUGACGUCCCUUUUGCCAACUGCUCCAUCCUCUUGUUAUGAUGUAUAUAUUAUCAAAAGGAAAAAGCAGGCUGAUAUUUAACCCUACCACAAGCCCCAAACCUGCUACCCAUAAUACGAUUUGACAUGGUGGCCUUUCUCAUAAGAGGUGCUAUAGAAGUGUCAGGUUGAUGAUAUUUUAGUUUCAUAUUCUUACAUGAUGAAUGUUGAGGUUACUUCAAGUGUGAAGAUUUUUUUUCCCUUUUUCAGAGGCUUAUGCUGUCUGUUUCAUGAAACAAAAAAAUGAAAAACUGUUUGUGAAAAAUAUUAUCUGAGAAAAUUAAAUUAUUUAUUGCUAUUUGGUUGCUACAUUGAUAACGCUGAAGAUCAACUGGAAAUUAUUUUUUGGCAUUUGAAGGACAUAAGAAACAAGUAAUAAUAUUUAAUGAAAAGGCUAUGAGAAUGUUUAGACUGUUAAAUACUCCAUAUUUUUCCAUUUGUAGUUGAAAAAGACCAUGAGAUUCUUUGAGUUUGUAAAUAUCACAAAAUGACUUUUGUGAAGCAGCCUCUCUCUGUUCAAUUUUGUUAAAUUGCGGCAGAAAUAGGGUGCUACAUGCAACAACCAUUCUCAAGGUUUGAGCCAAUGCAUUUUCAUUCUACUGGAGUUAGAUAAAUAGUCACCCUCGUACUUAUAGCUUGUGGUUUUAAUUUUCAGCCUAAGAUGUCCUCAAUGGGAGACUUUGGAGCUGACCUUUUUUUUUUUUUUUCCAUU
rnacentral:misc_RNA from 1 species